rnacentral:lncRNA from 1 species
GCCUGAGGCGUCCCAAAGAGGGGACCGAGUCUUCAGAGUUCCCCCGAGUCCCGCUUCCUUUACUUUCGCGCGAAGCUCGUUUUUCACAGACGGCCUGUACCAGCUCCAGGUUUACAUCUUCGCUACUUCCCGCCGGUGAUAUGGGAAAUCCGCCUCCUUAAGGAAGGCUGGACUCUGGAUGCCAGGAUGUCCAAUUAAGAGAUUCACAUGAGCCCGGAUGUGGUGGUUGUCAGUCUCACACAGUGAUCAAUGUGAACUGAAAGCAGAUGGCCUUUCCUGAAUGUGUUGCACUAUGUAAAACCCUUGAGUAGGAGAGGAACACCCAUAAAUGACAAGACUGAAUUUGUAAGUGUCAUGGUAAGUGGAAUUAAUAUCAUACGAAAGGUGUUUGAGUUAUUAUUUAAACGUCUAAAAAACUUCAAACAGGCAAAUUCCAAGAAUAAUACUAUAAACUGUCAUGUACUUUUGAUUUGGAUUUACCAAUUGUUAAUCUUUUUCAAUAUUUUAUUUCUUCCAUAUUUUUUUUUAUUUUAUUUUGUUUUGUUUUUUGUUUUUUGAGACAAGGUAUCACUAUAUAGUUCAGGCAGUCUUUGAACUCACUAUGUUUCCUAGGUUGGCCUCAAACUCACAGCAAUCCUCCUGACUCAGCCUCUAGAGUGCUGGGAUUACAGGCCUAUGCAACUACACCUGGCUUCUCCCAUAUAUUUUUAUUGUUAAUAGUGCUGAGCCAUUUCAGACAUCAUGAUACUUUACUUCCAAAUAGUUCUGCGUGUAUCUUCUAAGAAUAGGAACAUAUGGGCUGGGGAUUUAGCUCAGUGGUUUCGCUGUCUGCUGCACAAGUGCAAGAACCCAAGUUUGAUCCCCGGCACCAAAAAAAAAAAAAAAAGAAUAGGAAUAUAUUGUUACAUAACCCCCAGAAUAAUUAUCAAAUUUGGGGACUGUAACAUUCCUACAAAAUUACCUAGACCUGGGUACAGUGGGCUGCACCUGUAGUCCCCGCUAUCCGGAAGCCUGAGGCAGGAAGAUCACUUGAGCCCAGUAAUAUGAGGCCACCUUGGGCAAUAUAUAAAGACAUGC